rnacentral:rRNA from 1 species
CUUAAGCAUAUCAAUAAGCGGAGGAAAAGAAACCAACAGGGAUUGCCCUAGUAACGGCGAGUGAAGCGGCAACAGCUCAAAUUUGAAAUCUGGCCCCCCGGCCCGAGUUGUAAUUUGUAGAGGAUGCUUCUGGGUAGCGACCGGUCUAAGUUCCUUGGAACAGGACGUCAUAGAGGGUGAGAAUCCCGUAUGCGACCGGCCCGCGCCCUCCACGUAGCUCCUUCGACGAGUCGAGUUGUUUGGGAAUGCAGCUCUAAAUGGGAGGUAAAUUUCUUCUAAAGCUAAAUACCGGCCAGAGACCGAUAGCGCACAAGUAGAGUGAUCGAAAGAUGAAAAGCACUUUGGAAAGAGAGUUAAAAAGCACGUGAAAUUGUUGAAAGGGAAGCGCUUACAACCAGACUUUGGGGCGGUGUUCCGCCGGUCUUCUGACCGGUCUACUCUCCGUCCCGAGGCCAACAUCAUCUGGGACCGCCGGACAAGACCUCAGGAAUGUGGCUCCCCUCGGGGAGUGUUAUAGCCUGUGGUGAUGCGGCGCGUCCCGGGUGAGGUCCGCGCUUCGGCAAGGAUGUUGGCGUAAUGGUUGUCAGCGGCCCGUCUUGAAACACGGACCAAGGAGUCUAACAUCUAUGCGAGUGUUCGGGUGUCAAACCCCUACGCGGAAUGAAAGUGAACGGAGGUGGGAACUUUUUUGUGCACCAUCGACCGAUCCUGAUGUCCUCGGAUGGAUUUGAGUAAGAGCAUAGCUGUUGGGACCCGAAAGAUGGUGAACUAUGCCUGAAUAGGGUGAAGCCAGAGGAAACUCUGGUGGAGGCUCGCAGCGGUUCUGACGUGCAAAUCGAUCGUCAAAUUUGGGUAUAGGGGCGAAAGACUAAUCGAACCAU